UACAGAGGUCUCAAGCGUUGUUCGGAUUCAUUGGGCGUAAAGGGUGCGUAGGCGGCGCGGUAAGUCGGGUGUGAAAUCUCGGGGCUUAACUCCGAAACUGCAUUCGAUACUGCCGUGCUUGAGGACUGGGGAGGAGACUGGAAUUUACGGUGUAGCGGUGAAAUGCGUAGAUAUCGUAAGGAACACCAGUGGCGAAGGCGGCUCACUGGCCCGAUACUGACGCUGGAGGUGCGAAAAGCGUGGGGAGCAAACAGG
rnacentral:rRNA from 1 species